rnacentral:rRNA from 1 species
AUUAAACGCUGGCGGCAUGCCUUACACAUGCAAGUCGAACGGCAGCACGGGGGCAACCCUGGUGGCGAGUGGCGGACGGGUGAGUAAAGCAUCGGAACGUAUCCUGGAGUGGGGGAUAACGUAGCGAAAGUUACGCUAAUACCGCAUAUUCUGUGAGCAGGAAAGCAGGGGAUCGCAAGACCUUGCGCUCUGGGAGCGGCCGAUGUCGGAUUAACUAGUUGGUGGGGUAAAGGCCUACCAAGGCGACGAUCCGUAGCGGGUCUGAGAGGAUGAUCCGCCACACUGGGACUGAGACACGGCCCAGACUCCUACGGGAGGCAGCAGUGGGGAAUUUUGGACAAUGGGCGCAAGCCUGAUCCAGCCAUGCCGCGUGAGUGAAGAAGGCCAUCGGGUUGUAAAGCUCUUUCGGCGGGGAAGAAAUUGCACGGGUUAAUACCCUGUGUAGAUGACGGUACCCGAAUAAGAAGCACCGGCUAACUACGUGCCAGCAGCCGCGGUAAU